UGCAGUCGAGCGGACAGAAGGGAGCUUGCUCCCGGAUGUUAGCGGCGGACGGGUGAGUAACACGUGGGUAACCUGCCUGUAAGACUGGGAUAACUCCGGGAAACCGGAGCUAAUACCGGAUAGUUCCUUGAACCGCAUGGUUCAAGGAUGAAAGACGGUUUCGGCUGUCACUUACAGAUGGACCCGCGGCGCAUUAGCUAGUUGGUGGGGUAAUGGCUCACCAAGGCGACGAUGCGUAGCCGACCUGAGAGGGUGAUCGGCCACACUGGGACUGAGACACGGCCCAGACUCCUACGGGAGGCAGCAGUAGGGAAUCUUCCGCAAUGGACGAAAGUCUGACGGAGCAACGCCGCGUGAGUGAUGAAGGUUUUCGGAUCGUAAAGCUCUGUUGUUAGGGAAGAACAAGUGCGAGAGUAACUGCUCGCACCUUGACGGUACCUAACCAGAAAGCCACGGCUAACUACGUGCCAGCAGCCGCGGUAAUACGUAGGUGGCAAGCGUUGUCCGGAAUUAUUGGGCGUAAAGGGCUCGCAGGCGGUUUCUUAAGUCUGAUGUGAAAGCCCCCGGCUCAACCGGGGAGGGUCAUUGGAAACUGGGAAACUUGAGUGCAGAAGAGGAGAG
rnacentral:rRNA from 1 species